rnacentral:lncRNA from 1 species
AUCACUCAGUCAUGUGUGACUCUUUGCAACCCCACGUACUGUAGCUCCUCUGUCCAUGGUAAGAAUACUGGAGUAGGUAGUCAUUCCCUUCUCCAGGGGAUCUUCCCGAUCCAGGGAUCAAACCCUGCUCUUCUGCAUCACAGGCAGAUUCUUUACCAGCUGGAGCCACUGGGAAAUCAGUAUAAAGCAGAACGGGCCAUGUGCCACAGCAAAGGCUCUGAUGAAGAAAAACUUACAUCCACCUGGUGGAGGAAAUCCCAUGGGCAGGAGAGCCUGGUGGGCUACAGCCCGUGGAGCUGCAGAAGAGUUGGACAUGAGUGAGCUACUGAAUAACAACAAUAGCACAUUCACCAGCCCGGGAUUCGAUGUGCGUUGAGUUAGAACAGUCCUUCACUGGAGUCUAAUUUCAGUUCUACCGAGGUUAAUGUAUCCUUUUUCAGGCUAUGUACUCAUUUAAACCAAAAUUACCCAGCUACUAGCCUUCUUGAUAGCAAUUACAUCCCACGAAACCAAACUACUGAGCUUCAUGUAUUGGUAAUGGCCUUUCUUUCUAUAGUU